GACGAACGCUGGCGGCGUGCUUAACACAUGCAAGUCGAACGGAAAGGCCCUGCUUUUGUGGGGUGCUCGAGUGGCGAACGGGUGAGUAACACGUGAGUAACCUGCCCUUGACUUUGGGAUAACUUCAGGAAACUGGGGCUAAUCCCGGAUAGGAGCUCCUGCUGCAUGGUGGGGGUUGGAAAGUUUCGGCGGUUGGGGAUGGACUCGCGGCUUAUCAGCUUGUUGGUGGGGUAGUGGCUUACCAAGGCUUUGACGGGUAGCCGGCCUGAGAGGGUGACCGGCCACAUUGGGACUGAGAUACGGCCCAGACUCCUACGGGAGGCAGCAGUGGGGAGUAUUGCACAAUGGGCGGAAGCCUGAUGCAGCAACGCCGCGUGCGGGAUGACGGCCUUCGGGUUGUAAACCGCUUUCGCCUGUGACGAAGCGUGAGUGACGGUAAUGGGUAAAGAAGCACCGGCUAACUACGUG
rnacentral:rRNA from 1 species